AUGGCACCGGCCUCCUCCUACGCCGUUGCGGUCGCACUUUUCUGCCUGCUCGCCGCCGAUGGCUGCUGCGGCUGCUUUUGGUUCCUGCCUGCCAUAUUCUGCCCUGGAUACUCCCCCACGCCUACACCCGCCCCCGCUACCCCCACCCCCAGCCCGGGCACCGGCACCGGCGGCAGCGGCACCAACGUCGACGGCGGCGGCUGGCUCGACGCCAGGGCCACCUGGUACGGCGCUCCCGGCGGCGCUGGGCCUGACGACAAUGGUGGCGCGUGCGGGUUCAAGAACGUGAACCUGCCGCCGUUCAACGCCAUGACGUCUUGCGGCAACGAGCCGCUCUUCAAGGACGGCAAGGGAUGCGGCUCGUGCUACCAGAUAAGGUGCGUGGCUCACGCAGCGUGCUCCGGCGUCCCUGAGACGGUGAUCCUCACCGACAUGAACUACUACCCGGUGGCCCGCUACCACUUCGACCUCAGCGGCACCGCCUUCGGCGCCAUGGCCAAGGACGGCCGGAACGACGAGCUCCGCCACGCCGGCAUCAUCGACAUGCAGUUCAAGAGGGUGCCGUGCCAGUACCCGGGGCUGUCGGUGACGUUCCACGUGGAGCAGGGGUCGAACCCGAACUACCUAGCGGUCCUGGUGGAGUACGAGAACGGCGACGGCGACGUGGCGCAGGUGGACCUCAUGGAGUCGCGGCCGGACAAUGGUGAGCCGACGGGGGUCUGGACGCCCAUGAGGGAGUCGUGGGGCUCCAUCUGGCGGCUGGACACGCACCGCCCGCUGCAGGGGCCCUUUUCGCUGCGGGUCACCAACGAGUCCGGCAGGUCGCUCGUCGCCGAGCAGGUCAUCCCAGCCGACUGGCAGCCCGACACGGUGUACAGCUCCCUCGUCCAGUUCGAUUGA
rnacentral:rRNA from 1 species